rnacentral:rRNA from 2 species
GCCUGCUGUUAAUAAACAACCGUCGCCAGGGUAUUACGAACAACUUGUUUAAAACCCAAAGAACUUGAUGACACCCUAAACCCACCUAGAGGAGCCUGUUCUUUAAACCGAUAACCCACGCUAUACCCAACCACUUCUAGUCACCAGUCUAUAUACCGCCGUCACCAGCCAACCUCAUAAAAGAAUCACCGUAGGCAAAAAAGCUACUAUGCAAAUACGUCAGGUCGAGGUGCAGCCCACGAAGUGGGAAGAAAUGGGCUACACUCUUUAUCACAAAGAAAACGAAUUAUUUAAUGAAAAAAUUUUGAAGGUGGAUUUAGCAGUAAAUGAAAAUCACCCUGUCUCAUUGAAGCCGGCUUCUAGGGUGCGU